rnacentral:lncRNA from 1 species
GAGGUAGGUAGGUGCCUGCCCUCGCAACAGGGGAGGCUUACAGAGCCACAGCUGGUGGCCGGUUGUAUGUGAGGUUUCUUUCUCCUUCCUUAGUUUGAUUUUCAGUAUUUCCUUGAUGAUCUUUACACUCUGAAUCUUCAAGCUAAGGCUGAAUUUCCUGUUUGGCUGACAGCAUCGUUGAGUGACACAACAGAGGGUUGAGCAUGGGGCUUCAGUGCAGACUGGACUCUGACGCGUGUGCACAGCUGGAUCCCAAUCCAAAGCCUUCUGGUGCCACUUUCAUAGAGAGCAGGAAGCUCACGACAGGAAAAGUGACCUGACCAAGCCUUCCCCGUCAGUGAGCUGGCUCUGUCUGUUCCAUCUGCUCAUUCGGGAAUCUGUCUGACAGGUACUAUGGCUGGAGAGAACUUCUGUCCUUCCCGGGGCCUCGGGGA